rnacentral:lncRNA from 1 species
CCUUAGAAACCCAUCACUUUAAUUUCAAAUGAAAUAAGUAACAACACAAGGCAGACUAUCGAAUGAAACAGUUAAGUGUGUCAAACUAAACUAAACCAUAAACUUAAACACUUAUUUUGAAGAUUUAAGCCUAAGCUCAAUGCUAAAAUUUCUAACAAAUAUAUGAAACAACAAAACAAGAUCAGUGAGAGGCACUAAAAGAGGAAAGCAGACUAGAUAACGCGCCUAAAGUCAUGUAAAAUUAGGUUAAUUAUGACCCAUUAAAUACAUGAAAGUUAGGAAUAACCCUGAAAUUUCUUUCAACUAAUAAAAUUCCAGCAGUUACACGGACUGAAACAAAGAGACCAUUGCGACCAGAACUCAAUGCGACGAUCAUCAAACUGGGAGCCUCGAACACUAGACUGUUUCUCGGAUCUGAGCUUAACCGGACCGCCUCACAGAUAUGGAGAUGUGAACAGAAAAACUAAUAGAACUCAUGCCCUCGCUUUUGAGUAGAAGAACAAGAACAGUUCUCUGUGUAUGGGUGUGUUUCUGACGAUAUGUGUGACAGGGUGGUGUUUGCUGUGGCAUGGAAGCUUUUCCGAUGUUAGAGGUAUGUGGUUUCGGUUUGUGGAAUAGAGGUCCAAAAUAUCAUAUGCUUGGAUUAGGUCUGAUUUGGGAAUUGCAGCUUGUUCGUCCUGUGUCUGUAGAAGAUGAAAAUUACAGAGUAGGGUUUUUUUUUUUGUAAAAGAUGCGCUUCUCUCCGCUUUGUAGUCUAGGUUUUUAGGAUAAAAGAAUAAGGGUUUGGGUAUAGGGUCGGGUUGGAUCGACCCGGUUUGGUUUGGGUUGGGAAAAACUUGGGUUUCUA